UGCGUCAUUAUAAGACAAUGAUUGGAUUGCUACUACACUACUAAAACUCGUCUCAGUUCGAGCAUACUGAGAGAAGAGAGAGAGAGAGAGAGAGAGAGAGAGAGAGAGAGAGAGAGAGAGAGAGAGAGAGAGAGAGAGAGAGAGAGAGAGAGAGAGAUUAGUGGGAUGACUCAUGAAGUUAUCAUGACUGUUGUUUCAGUUUGGCCUCUGUCUCAGUCAGCCCUGUGAACUGUUAAGCCUUUACCGACCAAGCGACUGAAAUCCAAACCUUAAUUCUUUUAGUGCGAUCGGCAGACACAUACAUGCAUCUGAAUGAACAGAAACAGGCCAAAGACAAUGUUGCUGCACUUUUCGAGCUAUUAUAUAAUACAACAUUAUACACAAGUUAUAGACAGAUAGUUGCACAUUUAAUAGUACAAUAUGUAUGCAAGUUGUUGCUUGUUGCCCCGUUACGUUUCAGAUUUUAAAAAAGAAACCACACACAAACAAAAUUGAAAUAAAAAAAAAUACGAAUAACGCAGUUAUGCGAGGCUCAUUUUGUACGUGCCCCAAACCAGCGCUUUGUCCUGUGUUGUCGAACGACCAGAACGCAUGUCCUCAGUGAAUGGAAAAUGAGUCGCGCAUUCAGUGUCAUCGGAGCAAAACUUUUCUGGCAUCGUAGUUGUUGCAUGGGUUGUUGGAAAUUUCCGAAAUGUGUUUGGGGUUUCUUUCUGGGUCUGGAAGGUCGGACAUUGUGAAUUUGCCGUUUGUCUCAGAGGACUGGUAGAUUCAGGUUUAAUCCGUCGCGGAGUGUCUGAAUAAAGGUUAGUAUUGUUUCGUUGUUGUUCGCUUUUAACAUCCUUCUGGACAUAAUAUGUUGGAGCCGGCGUCUGUUGUGUCAUUUUUAAAGGUUUUCAUAUUUGCAUGUAAAAGACAUGUCCUUGUGUUCAUCUUCCAAGCCAGAAAGUCUAAAAAAAAAAAGUUGAGCUCACAGGUUUAUAGAGCUCACAUCCUAUUCUCUAACACAAAAAGAGCGUAGCAGCCUUUUGUUCUGUUAAAAGAAUGCUAGGUUGUUGGUGUUUUUUUGUGGGUUUUUUAAAGUGGUUUUUGUUGUUGUUGUUUUUGUUUGUUGUAGCAGUAGUUUACAAUUUGAUAUUUGACGCAGGAGUGGAACCUUUAUUCAAUUUCCAUUUUU